UUUCCGUAGGUGAACCUGCGGAAGGAUCAUUAUUGUAUAACCGAGGUGCGAGGGCUGUCGCUGACCCGAAAGGUCGUGCACGCCCGAGUGCCCUCACACACAUCCAUCUCACCCCUAUGUGCACCACCGCAGGUCCCCCUUUGGCUUGUUCGGAGGGGGGCUUACGUUUUCACACAAACUUUGUAUGCAGUGUAGAAUGUAUUUUUUGUUUUUGCGAUCACGCAAUCAAUACAACUUUCAACAACGGAUCUCUUGGCUCUC
rnacentral:misc_RNA from 1 species